rnacentral:sRNA from 1 species
CAGCAGCGGUGACACUGCGCAGGCCCUC